GCCGACCAUAUCAUGACAAAUGAUGAUAUUAAAUACUACAAUGCUUGGUGUCAAGCAAUGGGAUCAGUUACAAAACAAAGAAGACUACUCUGUUCAUGGCACGUAAUUGAAAACUGGAACAUCCAAGGGAGAAAUAAAUUAAAAAAUCCAGAAAUCAAGAAACAAAUGGAAUAUCGGAUGAGAAAGAUAUUGAGGGAAACAGAUUGGACGACAUUUUUUAAAUUAAAGGAGGAUUAUUUCAAGGAUUUAGAAAAAGAAGGAGAAAAUGAAUUUCUGAAAUACUAAAUGAAUUAUUACUUCCAAACAGAAUAACGAAUAAAAAUGUGGUCAUACUGCCAUAGAGUUAAUGCAGGAAUCAACACAAACAUGGCCAUUUAAAGUUUGAACAAGGUCCUGAAGCACAACAAAAUGAGAGGUAAUCAAAAUAUGAGGAUUGAAAAACUACUGGACUUACUGGAAGAGUUGGUGAAUGAUAAGAUGUGGAAGAAAAUCAUAGAAACUGAAAGACCCACCGCUCAUUCAUAUCAGUCCAG